rnacentral:rRNA from 1 species
UACGUAGGGACCAAGCGUUGUUCGGAUUCACUGGGCUUAAAGGGCGCGUAGGCGGCUCCUCAAGUCGGGGGUGAAAUCCUCUCGCUUAACGAGAGAAUUGCCUCCGAUACUGGGGAGCUGGAGGGGGAUAGGGGUGCGCGGAACUUCCGGUGGAGCGGUGAAAUGCGUAGAUAUCGGAAGGAACGCCGGUGGCGAAAGCGGCGCACUGGAUCCCCACUGACGCUGAGGCGCGAAAGCCAGGGGAGCAAACGGG